rnacentral:rRNA from 10 species
AAAUUGAAGAGUUUGAUCAUGGCUCAGAUUGAACGCUGGCGGCAGGCCUAACACAUGCAAGUCGAACGGUAACAGGAAGCAGCUUGCUGCUUUGCUGACGAGUGGCGGACGGGUGAGUAAUGUCUGGGAAACUGCCUGAUGGAGGGGGAUAACUACUGGAAACGGUGGCUAAUACCGCAUAACGUCGCAAGACCAAAGA